GGUUAGUUAGCUCAGUUGGUAGAGCAACGGACUCUUAAUCCGUGGGUCCAGGGUUCGAGCCCCUGACUGACCACUA
rnacentral:tRNA from 2 species